GGGUUGAUCCCCCGGGUUCAUCUGCCGAUGGGUUGAGGCUUUAUCUGACCCACGUGUCACCCAUGAGAUCUGCAGUAUCUGGAUCUCGUAUUGGUCUCAGGCUGAUAAGUCUUUGGGUCAGAAGAUUGCAAAUCGCCUGAACGUGAGGCCUAGCAUUUGAAGUUGAGGUCAGCCCUGGAUGUUUUUAGUUGCUGAAAGUGAGUAAUGUAGUGAGAGUGAGAACAUCAGUUGCAUGGAAGUAUGCGUUCAACUGUUAAUCCUCUGUUGUGUUCUAUUAUAAUUUAUGUGAAUGAACUAAGUUGCAUGAGGUGACAUUUUGACCCUAUAAUUUCCCUAUAUUAAUUAAGUGCAGUUAUAAAAUCAAAUACCAAGAAACAAGCAUAGGUUAAAACUGUUCUCCAUUGUUUUGCUUUCUUUGUAUAUGGGAACUCUAUGUACUUGCUUUUUUAUGAA